UACGUAGGGUGCAAGCGUUGCUCGGAAUCAUUGGGCGUAAAGAGCGUGUAGGUGGCUAGGUAAGUCGGAUGUGAAAUCCCUCGGCUCAACCGAGGAAGGGCAUUCGAAACUACCUAGCUCGAGGAUGGCAGAGGAAGGUGGAAUUCCUAGUGUAGAGGUGAAAUUCGUAGAUAUUAGGAGGAAUACCGGUGGCGAAGGCGGCCUUCUGGACCAUUCCUGACACUGAGACGCGAAAGCGUGGGUAGCAAACAGG
rnacentral:rRNA from 1 species